AGUUGAUCCUGGCUCAGAACGAACGCUGGCGGCAGGCCUAACACAUGCAAGUCGAACGCCGUAGCAAUACGGAGUGGCAGACGGGUGAGUAACACGUGGGAACGUACCUUUCGGUUCGGAAUAACUCAGGGAAACUUGAGCUAAUACCGGAUACGUGCGAGAGCAGAAAGAUUUAUCGCCGAAAGAUCGGCCCGCGUCCGAUUAGCUAGUUGGUGAGGUAAUGGCUCACCAAGGCGACGAUCGGUAGCUGGUCUGAGAGGAUGAUCAGCCACACUGGGACUGAGACACGGCCCAGACUCCUACGGGAGGCAGCAGUGGGGAAUAUUGGACAAUGGGCGCAAGCCUGAUCCAGCCAUGCCGCGUGAGUGAUGACGGCCCUAGGGUUGUAAAGCUCUUUCGCCAGGGACGAUAAUGACGGUACCUGGAUAAGAAGCCCCGGCUAACUUCGUG
rnacentral:rRNA from 1 species